AACGAACGCUGGCGGCAGGCCUAACACAUGCAAGUCGAGCGAGGACUUCGGUUCUAGCGGCGGACGGGUGAGUAACGCGUGGGAAUGUGCCCUUCUCUACGGAAUAGCUCUGGGAAACUGGGAGUAAUACCGUAUACGCCCUAUGGGGGAAAGAUUUAUCGGAGAAGGAUCAGCCCGCGUUGGAUUAGGUAGUUGGUGGGGUAAUGGCCUACCAAGCCGACGAUCCAUAGCUGGUCUGAGAGGAUGAUCAGCCACACUGGGACUGAGACACGGCCCAGACUCCUACGGGAGGCAGCAGUGGGGAAUCUUAGACAAUGGGGGCAACCCUGAUCUAGCCAUGCCGCGUGAGUGAUGAAGGCCUUAGGGUUGUAAAGCUCUUUCAGCUGGGAAGAUAAUGACGGUACCAGCAGAAGAAGCCCCGGCUAACUCCGUG
rnacentral:rRNA from 1 species